CCUACGGGAGGCAGCAGUGAGGAAUAUUGGACAAUGGGCGCAAGCCUGAUCCAGCCAUGCCGCGUGCAGGAUGACGGUCCUAUGGAUUGUAAACUGCUUUUAUACGGGAAGAAACCCUGCCACGUGUGGCAGAUUGACGGUACCGUAAGAAUAAGGAUCGGCUAACUCCGUGCCAGCAGCCGCGGUAAUACGGAGGAUCCAAGCGUUAUCCGGAAUCAUUGGGUUUAAAGGGUCCGUAGGCGGGCUAGUAAGUCAGUGGUGAAAUCUCCCCGCUCAACGGGGAAACGGCCAUUGAUACUGCUAGUCUUGAAUUAUUGGGAAGUAACUAGAAUAUGUAGUGUAGCGGUGAAAUGCUUAGAGAUUACAUGGAAUACCAAUUGCGAAGGCAGGUUACUAUCAAUAUAUUGACGCUGAUGGACGAAAGCGUGGGUAGCGAACAGGAUUAGAUACCCUGGUAGUCCACGCCGUAAACGAUGGAUACUAGCUGUUGGGUUGCAAGACUCAGUGGCUAAGCGAAAGUGAUAAGUAUCCCACUGGGGAGUACGGGGCGCAAGCCUGAAACUCAAAGGAAUUGACGG
rnacentral:rRNA from 1 species